CUACAGGCGCACCACCAUGCCUGGCUAAUUUUUGUAUUUUUUAGUAGACACGGGGUUUCACCAUGUUGGCCAGACUGGUCUCAAACUCCUGACCUCAGAUGAUCCACGUAUAUUUGGGUUCUUGAAUGUAUGUAAAAACAUGCAGUAUCAAAUUCUGAUGCUCCACUGGUCUCAAAUUUGGCCAAUGGGAAACUAUCAAGCUGGUUCCUGUGUCCUUUUAUUAACAUUUACUCUAUACUCUCUCUCUGUAUGGGGCUAUACCAAAUGCUAAGGAGGUUUAUGCAGAUGAGUAUUUCCACAUCUUAAGAAGUUUAUUUUCAGCCUGGACCACAGGGCCAGACCCUGUCUCUACCAAAAAAAAAAAAAAAAAAUAGCUGGGCGUAGUCGUAUGCCUCUGUAGCUAUCUGACACUCCAGCCACCCCAGCUUGCCUAGGGGUGCACCCUGGCUUUGCCAGUGCCGCUCUGCACCCUCAGGUGCCCUUACCCCAUGCACCCUUCCGUUCACAUGCUGCCAUGCAGACCGGAUAGGCAGGGCUAUGCUGUGCUGACAAAAUAGCCCACCCCACCCACUUAUCCCUCAAGUCCCCUUAACUGCCAUAUCUUCUGCGAGGUGGUUCUUGGUUCUCUAUUCCUUGUCCCCAUCAACCCAACCCAGGCUGGAAAUGAGCAUUUCUUCCUCUGGACUCCUGUAACCCUUCAUCUCUUCUCCCUUCC
rnacentral:lncRNA from 1 species